GCCGGGGUAGCCAAGUGGCCAAAGGCGCAGGACUUAAGAUCCUGUCCCGUAGGGGUUCAUGAGUUCAAAUCUCAUCCCCGGCA
rnacentral:tRNA from 1 species